CAGAGUUCUAGAGUCCGAUGAUGUGAAAUCUGGAACUGAGUCCUUUACCUGUCUCUGCAGAGCACACACUCCAUCUCCCUGGCCUCUGCAAGCAACUGAAAUGACAAAACUAUUGGGAAAACCAGGUUGUAGUCUUGUGGGAGUGGCUCAUUUGCAUAUUUUCUGCCUUGGUUAUGUUCCUUUCUUCUUUGUGUUUGCCAUUUCCACAAGAAAGGCUGCUUGCUUAAUUCCAUCAGCUGCAGCCCUUCUCCUGCAGGUGAUGAGGCAGCCAGGUGCAGAGCUCAGCUGUUUUUGGACAGCCUGGUCCAGUGCAGCUGUGUGCAGAGAAGAGCUCUACUAGAAUUUCUACAAGAGAAAAUUACAAACAGAAAUCCCUCCGAGGUAUUCUGCAAGCAUGGAGAUUUGCAGGCCAGCAUAGUGAUGUCCUCCAGCAGGUACAUGUGGGAGUUCUGGCCCAGAAUGUGGGGCUUUGUGGGAAAGUCAGCCCAUCCUUCAAUGGGAAACACGCUGGUAACAGUGACACUCGGGGGUGAUUGGUUUGCAGCACCUGGCUCAGCAGCUGCCCCCCAUUUCCAGUGCUGUGUGGUGCAUUUGUGAUCUGCUGCUGGUGCUCUCAGUAUGGCUGGAAAUGGGAUCUUCCCCUGAGAGCUGCUGGAAGAAUGGGUUCUUCCACCAGAGGUUUUGGAAUGAGCACUUGCAGUUGUUAAUUUUGUUUCAGCUCUGUUGAUUGAACUGUCAGGGUAGCAACACAGUGAUUAAACUGAGGUUUUCUCUCCUUCAGAAUCUGAAAAGAGGCUGCAGAUAACCAAGAGGCACAAGCUGUGUCUUUGCUCCUGUCCUGACACACGUGGCCAAGGAGGAUGAGGGAGCAUCUGGGCUCACAUCCUUUUAACCAUGGCCUUCCUAAAAGCCAUCCAGGACUGCAGGGAUGAUGUGAUGCAGCCAGUAGGUCUCCAGUAAAUUGGUGUUUGGCAGUGGAGUGACAGAUGGUGGUGGUGGGUUUUGGGGUUUGGUUUGUUGGGUUUUUUUUCUGUAGUACCUGCGGAAAUGGGUGUUCAUGAAUGGAUACAUUUGUCUUGCAGGGUAUCCCUUGUUCCUGUAGGGAAACAGCAUUGCUGCCCUUUAGCUGGGUGGGCUGCAUAGCACAGCUUCUUCUGAGAUGCACUAAUGUCCACAAAGCUCAAAGCAAAUCACUAACAGACCUUAGGAAUGUUUUCCAGGCUCAGUUAAGUCACUAUUUCUGCCCAGCCCUAGGGAAGGGUGUACUGGAUUCUGGAGUCCCAGUUUGCUGCUACGGAGAGAAAUGGCCCAGAGAGGGAGCUAAAACGCCUCAAUUGCUGCUGGAAGGAGAAACAAGUAGCAAGUUCUCGUUGAGUUUGCUGUGAAUGUAGGCAGGGAGUGGACAAGGACAUCGGGAUGUGGCAAAUCUUUCUGCUGUGCCGGUGUUGGGCUCGUGGCUGGCACCAUUUGAUGCUGUGGGCUCACACUCAAAAGCUUUGAUGCUGAAUCAGCCUCUGUGGGGGUGCAUUUUCAUUGUUGCAGGUGCCAAGAUGAGGUGUCCCUCCCCUCCCCACUCCUGCUCCUUCUAGUCUUGUUUAAACAACUUCUGACAUCUGUUACAGUGCGAGAAGAUUUCAAACACAUUAAGCUUUUAAAGUGGUUUUAUAUAUUGUAUGUAAAUGCUUGUUGAAGUGAUAUUUUAUUAAACAGUUUUGCUCUAAUA